UACAGAGGUCCCAAGCGUUGUUCGGAUUCAUUGGGCGUAAAGGGUGCGUAGGCGGCGCGGUAAGUCGGGUGUGAAAUCUCGGAGCUUAACUCCGAAACUGCAUUCGAUACUGCCGUGCUUGAGGACUGGAAAGGAGACUGGAAUUUACGGUGUAGCGGUGAAAUGCGUAGAUAUCGUAAGGAAGACCAGUGGCGAAGGCGGGUCUCUGGACAGUUCCUGACGCUGAGGCACGAAGGCCAGGGGAGCAAACAGG
rnacentral:rRNA from 1 species